GGCAUGGUGGCCAAGUGGUAAGGCGUCGGUCUCGUAAACCGAACAUCAUGGGUUCAAAUCCCAUCCGUGCGUUCA